GCCUCCUUGGCUCAGUUGGUUAGAGCGCAGGUCUCAUAUAUAGCAAUAUGAAUAACACUUGUGUUAUGCAAUCCUGAGGUCGCAAGUUCGAACCUUGCAGGGGGCA